CCUACGGGAGGCAGCAGUGGGGAAUAUUGCACAAUGGGGGAAACCCUGAUGCAGCGACGCCGCGUGAGUGAAGAAGUAAUUCGGUAUGUAAAGCUCUAUCAGCAGGGAAGAAAAUGACGGUACCUGAGGAAGAAGCGCCGGCUAACUACGUGCCAGCAGCCGCGGUAAUCCGUCGGGGGCAAGCGUUAACCGGAUUUACUGGGUGUAAAGGGAGCGUAGACGUCAGUGCAAGUUUGGUGUGAAAGGCGGGGGCUCAACCCCCGGACUGCUCUGGAAACUGUACGGCUGGAGUGCAGGAGAGGUAAGUGGAAUUCCUAGUGUAGCGGUGAAAUGCGUAGAUAUUAGGAAGAACACCAGUGGCGAAGGCGGCUUACUGGACUGUAACUGACGUUGAGGCUCGAAAGCGUGGGGAGCAAACAGGAUUAGAUACCCGAGUAGUC
rnacentral:rRNA from 1 species